rnacentral:rRNA from 1 species
GACGAACGCUGGCGGCGUGCCUAAUACAUGCAAGUAGAACGCUGAAGUAGGAGCUUGCUUCUCUGGAUGAGUUGCGAACGGGUGAGUAACGCGUAGGUAACCUGCCUGGUAGCGGGGGAUAACUAUUGGAAACGAUAGCUAAUACCGCAUAAGAGUAGAUGUUGCAUGACAUUUGCUUAAAAGGUGCAAUUGCAUCACUACCAGAUGGACCUGCGUUGUAUUAGCUAGUUGGUGGGGUAACGGCUCACCAAGGCGACGAUACAUAGCCGACCUGAGAGGGUGAUCGGCCACACUGGGACUGAGACACGGCCCAGACUCCUACGGGAGGCAGCAGUAGGGAAUCUUCGGCAAUGGACGGAAGUCUGACCGAGCAACGCCGCGUGAGUGAAGAAGGUUUUCGGAUCGUAAAGCUCUGUUGUAAGAGAAGAACGAGUGUGAGAGUGGAAAGUUCACACUGUGACGGUAUCUUACCAGAAAGGGACGGCUAACUACGUG